GUAUCACGGUGACUUGCACGUUUGAGAGGUUAAAAGUAUAUAUAGUGUUCCUCCGCGCCCGAUGCUACAGUUAUUCCGAACAAUUGGGUGAGGUCAGAGUCUACUGCAGCUUGUGAAAUAUUCGCUUCUGUACACGAUGCUUCGACAGCUAAUCUUGUUAAUCGCCGUCUCCGGCGCCCUCGGAGACGGCUUUGCCAAAAAGUUUUCAUUCUCAAAGGCGAUGACGAGUUGCUUGGGCGAGGACAUUGUACUACGGCUGGAGGAACCACGUGCUGCAGGCGGUGAAGGCGUGUAGCGCGGAGGAGGCGCUCCUGCCUUCGCACCAGGA